rnacentral:rRNA from 1 species
ACGCAGCGGAUAUCCGCGCCUCCACAGCGCGGUGAUAGGGGGGGGGCAAGACGUUAUCGGAAUUGAGGGGGUAAAACGCAUAGAGGGAGAGUGUGUAAGGUGGAUGUGGAAAUACCGGGGGUUAACCUGGAGUCUGCAUUGGGAAAUGGGAAGAUAGAGUUUUGUGAGGGAGGUAGAAUUCCAGGUGUAGCGGUGAAAUGCGUAGAGAUUGGGAGGAACACCGGUGGAGAAGGCGGCUCUCUGGGCAAAUACGGAAGAUGAGGAGAGAAAGCGUGGGGAGCGAACAGGAUUAGAUACCGGGUAGUCCACGCUCGUAAAAGAUGUCGAUUUGGAGGGAGUGCCGUUGAGGA